rnacentral:lncRNA from 1 species
UUCCCAAGCAUCAGAAUACCUAAUCACAUAGUCAUAUAGCCAUCUUUCUCCCUCUAAUAUCAAGUGUGAACUCCCUCAAUUUUAGUUCUUCGAUGGGAAUUUGCUAACUCUCAAACCAUUCUGUCUUAUGUGUAAUAGAGUAACGCAUUGUGUUUGUUUUUGCGUACAUUUACAGAGGCCUUAAAAGAGACAGUAUCUUAGCUGAUUUUUCACAAUAACCCCAUAAUCGAGGCAUUUGAAAAACAGUCCUUUUAUUCCUAGACCAAAACCCUUUUUACUCAGCCAUUGUCUCAUCUCAGGUUAUUAUACUCACAUCAUUCAUUUGUCAUUUUAGAGUAGUGAUUAAAGCACAACUGUGCCUUAGUAAGUUUUAUUUUUUCUUAACCAAUCUAAGCUUCCAUUUCCUCAUUUGUAAACUUAGGUUAACAAUAGUACCUAUAUCAUGGGCACCGGGUUUAGUCAGAUCAUCAAAGUCUUAGUACUGUGAUUGCAAAUUGUAAGCACUCAAAAUAUUAGCCACUAUUAAAACUAUCUUGUGGGCCAAUUCCUUUCCAGGCGCAGCUUUCCUCUUGUUGUCUUUCAGCAAAUGGAGACAUAAAGUGGAAAACUUAGACUAAAACCAGCAAAACGAGAAGUAUCAAUGGCUGCGCAAGGAAGUAAUGUAGACCUACGCUAAAUCUUCUCUUGGAUUUACCAAGUGACUUCUAGGUGGUGCUGCACUUCUGUGUCUUCUUGUUGAGCGUUGAAGCAGAAAACGAGUGGGAGCCAAACCAUGACAAAGUGACUGACACUGAGAAACUGGAAAAUUAAAAUGCAGAUGGGGUUUCAUUUUUGCCUCCUGAUAAUGUUUUUGGAAGUUUUGAUUUCCUCCCCACAAUUGAAUUCCCAAUAAAGAUAUUUGGCAAGAUUCAUCACACAGUUCCACAAGCAUUAGUCAUUGAUGGAUCCAAAGCACGGACUGAAGAACAGAAAAACCUGCUGAUACAAGUCCCUUCUCAGGAAUGGCUUGGACUGACCAGGCUGGUUCUUCCACCAAAUUUGGCCACUGGAUUUCAAAGACAGUUUUGGACUUGAAUUUAGGUAACUUUAAGUCUAUUGAAGAACCUUAUUGUUUUGACAAACUUGAGAGAUGAUUUGUGUGUACUUGUCUGUUUUAUCUAAUAAGAGAGAGAUGGCGAACUCCAUAAGAACAAGAAUUGUGUUAUGUCUGGCACAUUGUAGGUGCUCAAUAAAUAUAUUCACUACAUAAAUAAAUAAAUAAAUAAAUAAAUAAAUAAAGGCCAAAAAAAGCCUGCAAAAUUCUUGGAAAGUUUUAAUGAUAGUGUGGUAAAAAAU